CAGGCUUGUAGCUCAGGUGGUUAGAGCGCACCCCUGAUAAGGGUGAGGUCGGUGGUUCAAGUCUCAGGCCUACC
rnacentral:tRNA from 1 species